ACCAAGUGAGAUUGGGGCGCACUGGUGUGGAAGAAAUAUACCAACUUGGACCGUUGAAUGAGUAUGAAAGGGUUUGUUUGGAAGAAGCUAAAAAAGAGUUGGCAGCAAGCAUUGAGAAAGGAGUUUCUUUCAUAAGGAAAUGAAAGGGUGUGAGGGUGAAGUGGUAUACAAGUAUUGAUUCUCUUAUCAUAGCUUUGUUUAUGACUUUAUGUUCCUUAUAAUGUACCCAAUCAAGUUGUACCUUAAAUAGAUGUAUCAGAAUACCUAUUUAUACUAUGCUAAUCUUAUUACAUCCAUGGUUUUUAACUUUUUUA